rnacentral:rRNA from 1 species
AAUGAACGUUGGCGGCAUGGAUUAGGCAUGCAAGUCGAGCGAGAAGGAAAUCAAAGUUUACUUUGGUUUCCGGAAAGCGGCGAAAGGGAGAGUAACGCGUAGUUAUCUACCCCAAGGACCGGAAUAGCUGCGGGAAACUGCAGGUAAUGCCGGAUAAUAUCCCCGGAUCAAAGGUGUGAUUCCGCCUUGGGAGGAGACUGCGUUGUACUAGCUUGUUGGUAGGGUAAUGGCCUACCAAGGCUACGGUGCAUAGCGGGCGUGAGAGCGUGGCCCGUCUCACUGGGACUGAAACACUGCCCAGACACCUACGGGUGGCUGCAGUCGAGAAUCUUCGGCAAUGGGCGAAAGCCUGACCGAGCGAUGCCGCGUGCGGGAUGAAGGCCCUCGGGCUGUAAACCGCUGUCGUAGGGGAGAAAGGACCGUUGAAGAGACGGUUUUGAUCUAUCCUAGGAGGAAGUCCGGGCUAAGUUCGUGCCAGCCGCCGCCGUAA